CCCUACGGGGUGCAGCAGUCGAGAAAACUUUACAAUGCGCGCAAGCGUGAUAAGGGGAUUCCAAGUGCUUAUCUUUGAUAGGCUUUUGCCAAGAGCAAAAAUCUUGGCGAAUAAGUGGUGGGUAAGACUGGUGCCAGCCGCCGCGGUAACCCCAGCGCCACUAGUGGGAACCAUUUUUAUUGGGUCUAAAGCGUCCGUAGCCGGUUAAGCAAAUUUUCUGUGAAAUCGAUGAGCUCAACUCAUCGGCGUGCAGAAAAGACUACUUAACUUGAGACCGGGAGAAGUUGAAGGUAUUCCGUGGGGAGCGGUAAAAUGCUAUAAUCCUCGGAGGACCACCGAUGGCGAAGGCAUUCAACUAGAACGGCUCUGACGGUGAGGGACUAAAGCCAGGGGAGCGAUCCGGAUUAGAUACCCGAGUAGUCCUGGCCCUAAACGCUGUCUGCCAGAUGUGGCACAUUUUACGAGAAUGUGCCGUGUCGUAAUGAAGAUGUUAAGCAGACCACCUGGGGAGUACGGUCGCAAGGCUGAAACUUAAAGGAAUUGGCGGGGGAGCACUACAAGGGGUGCGGCGUGCGGUUUAAUCUAAUUCCACACAGAGAACCUCACCAGGGGCGACGGCACAAUGAAAGUCAGUCUAAAGGGCUUACUUGAGGAGCCGAGAAGUGGUGCAUGGCC
rnacentral:rRNA from 1 species